rnacentral:miRNA from 1 species
CGUGCGUAGACGUCAGCGCAAUGC